CGCCGGCCCGGGCGCGGCCGAGGAAGUGCGUGCUCCUGAGCGCGGGGAUGUUUCUUUUACCUCAAAGUGCAGGGGAGAGGAGGCCCCCAAAUUAGGCAUCAGUGAUAGAAAUUAAUGCGGGCGUAGCGCCCCCACGCCGCACCGUCCCCUCAGUGCUGGCAGGUGGGCGGGACGGGCGGCCCUGCUGUGUCCCAGGUGAGGAGGUUGAGAGCCCGCGACUAGGACGCGUGGGGGCGCAGUGAGGGGCGAAACGCUGGCCUGAGCGGGCGAGCUGCGGCGCAGCCUCCGAGGCCCGAGGUGACAAGAAUGGAGACUAUCCCACUUCGGAACCAAGGAUGUCACAACUGCCACUGGCUCGAACAGAGUUUGCUGUUCCUGUCUUAGUGUCGCUCCAGUUAUUUUGAACCGAUACUUUUACGGAUGUAGCGGAAGCUUGGCGCGUCCGUGCUGCCAGCCCCGAGCUUUUUCUUUUUCUGGAGAGGCGGCCUCAAGGAGUAUUAAAAGCAGGAACUCCAACUACCUGGGUUGGAUUUAAAUUCUUUUUUCAUUUUACUUUUUUUUAGGCGAGGCAACCCUUGGUUGACCUUACAGAUUGCAAGGACCUUGUCAAGUUGCAAUUCCUUAUUUAUUUUUUACGCCUACAGCAACUGAUCUUUCUAGGUGGUCUCCCAUCCAAGUACUAACCAGGCCCGACACUGCUUAGCUUCCGAGAUCAGACGGGAUCCCUCUUAUUCAGGGUGGCACGGUUGUAGACUGUUUUCACAUUCUGACACUGCACGUUGACUAAUUCUGUGACCCUAGCCCAGUUAGCCUAUGUGAUUCACUUUACUCAUUGGCUGCAAAGUCAGAGUGGCAAACAUAUUCGUUAAGAGGGAUAAAAGCAAGUUAAUACAUGUAAAAUGCACCGGCGGUGUAAGCACUAGUAUCGAAGUAUUUGCAUAGUAUUAUUUUGUUUCCAUUUGCUUCAGAAGUGACAGGCACUGGAGGUCCUAUGACAGCAUCCUUUCUGUUUCUUUUGUCUCUUUUCACACUCAUUUUUCUACCAGUGUUACAGUUUAGUCUCACUUUGUAACACUUCCAAGUUAUAUACUCCAUUAUUUGUGAAGGCCUCCUGUGUCCCAAGAAUAAUUCAAGUGCUGGAUAAACAUUUGGACAGAUCCUGUCCUUUAAGGAAUUUAUAUUCUCUUUGAAGGAGACAAGCAAUAAAAAUUUAAAUAAAACAAGUUCACAGGCUAAGCUAUCUGAGAAUGCGGAUGCUAUUUUAAUAGGGGUGUUGGCAGGAAGAGGUCGCUUGGUAGAGGUGAUACUUCAGUUAAGGAAAUCCUCUGAUGAGAAGGAGCAACCACGAUAUCUUGGGUGAGGGGGCCGGGUGAAGGAAAAAUGUUUCAAGUAGAAGCAGCAACCUGAGCCAAGACAGAUAGGAUGAGCUCCACAUGAUCUGGACACAGGAAUCGUGAAGUAGGAGGAAAGUGGACAGAAAUUAAUGACCACAUGCUUAGUUGCUGAUUUUCGAAAAAAGCAAGAUUACAGGAAAUGAAAUAGGCCUUUAUUGAAACAGCCUAUUCUUUCCUGGGAAGCAUCUUGGUUGUAGAAGAAGAUUGGACUUUGGCAUCAGAUAAACUUCAGUUCAAAUAGACUUGGUGAGUUAAAUAAUCCUGCUGAGCUUCAACUUGUGUAUCUUUAAACUGGAAAUAAUAACUACUUUGGUCCGAAAGAAAGCACCUAACACAAUGUUCGAAACAUAAUAACUGUUCACACGUCAGUUUCCUUCCUGUUUCUCUUGACAAGGCUCCCCGUGAAACUGUCCAAAGUCGCUGAGGCAGCUUGCUGUUCUGAGAUUGCUGCUUGGUGACCUCGCCUUGGCUUUCCUUCCACGUUUGUGGAAUCUCCACUGUUCUUUCCUACUUUCAAUAUUGUAUUGUUGCAGUUUUAGCGCUGCAGUGUUUGUCUUCUGUUGGAGUUAAUCCAAAAGUGUAUAACCCAUCUCCACUCACAUCUGCGUACCAUCGUGAAAUAUAUUUACUUCACAGCCUUGUUUUUAGUAAGACAUUUUCACACACCCGGGGGACCUUUGUUUCGUGCUUUCAGGGGGAAAACGUUUUUGACGUUUGAGAAGAGGUUCAGAAGAGGUUGCACAUUCUGCCCUUCAAAAGAAUUCGUUUCAGUAAGCGUGUUAACCCAGAUGAUCUGUCUAAAUAUAACUCGGUUUUCAACAUAUUUGAGUAUACGUCUUCUCUCCUCUUUAUUGGACAUCUGUUGCUUCGUCUGACCUGUUUCGUGGGGAAAUGCCGCUUCCUGAGCCCACGUGACUCUCCUGUUACGUUAACUGCAGGCCGAGGUGUGACCAGGCCCUCUUAAUCAGGGAACCCAUCCCUCUCUCAUGGACUGUUCACCCAUGUGGAUCUGGGAGAGAGCAGGUCUUUCCUCCUCCAGGAUUAUAAACUCUAAGGACUACACAAGUCUGGGACUGUCAGGGGCCAUCUUACUACGACAUGGAGAGAACCUAUUUGAAAAUGAAAUCACACAGAGGCCAGCAGAACUAAGAAAUGAGAGAGGGAAGCAGAGUUCUCAUGUGGAAAUAGUUUGUACUGGUUCUUGGACUUUGCAGUUGGUGAUACAUUUGAGUUGCUCAUUUGUGAAAUGUGUCCAAAAGAAUCCUGACUACACUUCUACUAGAAUGUAGAGAUCCAUGUCUUAUCAACCUUUAUAGCAACCACUGAGUCUGGGCAUGUACCUCGUGAAUAAAUGGAUUAAUGGCCUGUUAUAGCACAUCUGGUGGAAGACAUUAAUAAGUGGAUGAAUAAAUGGAAAAAUGGAAGCUUACAUUUUUAUUUACCAUA